UAGCACAGUAUUAUCUUAUCAGUGGUUAGCAGCACACUGUCAAAUAAUGUGCUAGUCUUAGUGAGAUCAAGCAUUAUGUCUCGCUUGUUUGGAUUUGUCUGCGUUCUACUGACUGUUGGUCCCGUGCUGGGUCAGCUCCUCCUUCCCUGGCAGGUGUGUGAGAUGCAGUGUCUCAAGGAUAACAACGCCACCUGGCCCCACCAUUCCACGCCGGAAAUAGACGAACAUUGCCGAACCUACUGCAGAGCUCACUGGCAGGACAUGUUUACGACACCACACUGAUGGCUUGCCAGAAGGAUGUUAACGUCUGAAAUAUGACAUUGACAAUAAACCAAAUAGAUAUAUAA